AGUGUAAGACAACGACUAUUAUAUAACAAACACAUAUUAUGUACAUGUUUCAAGAUCAUUGGCAGCAACAGUUAUCAGUGUAACGAGCGAUUAAAAAUAGAAGCAAUGGUUAUACAUACAAUGAAAUAUUGUUAUAAACAAUAAUAUCCCUGUGUAUGAAUAUUCAUGAUGUACACUGUUUUUAAAAGUCACUGUCGUUCUCGUUCAUUAGAUAGUUUGCAGAUCGAAAAAUGGAGAAUUUAUUACCAAAAAAACACCAAAUGCAUUUUUUUUCUUUUUGAAGCACACACAAUUAAAGGCAUCUAUAGAGUAUAGAAGGAGCUGAAAUUUAGUGGAAAUAUUUUAACGGUUUUUCCUGGACUAUGUAGCUCCUUGUGUUUCUUCCCAUGUUAUUUUUAAAAGUUGGAGAAGUCAAAACAGGUGUUUUGAAAUACCAAUCAAGAAUGGAGAAUUUGUUUUCAUAGACAUCGGUAACUGCAUUCUGUCUAUUGUCAAUUAAUUUUUAUAAACUUACCUUGCCAAACCAUCCCGAUCCUAAUUCUUUGAUGUAUUUUAAUCUAUUUCUAGGAAAAUCGUUUUCAUUUGAAUCUAAAAAUAAGUAAAACACAAUGUAAGAAAAAGACAUCAAAAAAAGAGAUAAAAUAUUUCCAAAUAGAGCAUCACUAACUAGUCCCAGGCAUAAUAAAACAAAAUUUUCUCUAACUAUUUACUUAUUAGUCCUUUCUAUGUAUUUUUCGUGAUAGUUAAUUUGAUAUCUCUGUGGAUAAAAAAUCAAGAAAAAUCAUCAAGCAAAAGUAUUAGAUUAAUUCAAUUUUUUUAUGUUUCAACAAUGAUAAAUUCAGUCUCUAAUUUUUUUAAAUAUUUUUUUUGUUAAACCAUCAAUCAUUUGAUUCAAGCCAAAACCUCUUACUCUUGAACAUUCUUUUGACAUCUACCAACAACCAGUAGUCAGUAGAAGAACAAUGUCAAAUCUAGAUUAGAAGGUUAGUGACAAGCAAAGUGGAAACCACACUGUGAAGUAUUAAACGCAAAAUUUUUGUGGGUGUUGCUACUAUGGUGUUUAAUAUUUUUAUACCCAGAAAUAAUAACAGAAAGAGACAAUAAACGAGUUAUAUUCACUUUUUCUAAAGACAAAGGGAUGGAAUAUGCCAAGCAAAAAUAUACGAAAAGAAUGGAAAACAAGUAGUUAUGAAUAUAUCUACAAUACGACAAGAAUAAAUAUAAAACAGUAAAUUGUACAGAUGGAAGAACGAUCUAUUGAUUCAAAAAGAAGAGCAUUUUCGAAGAUAUUGUCAAGGAAAUAAAUGUUAAAACAUAAUACAGCGAAAUUUGUUUGUUUCGGUUUUAUAACCAUGCCAUUAAAUUACUUCAAUUGAUCAAUAGUUUAUUUUGUUGACAUCAUAAUUUUCCUGAGCUACACAAAUUACUUAUCGAGCGUUGUCAUCUGUGUCAAUCAAUUUGUACUUUACAUCAUUCGAUAACAAAAUUUAAAUAUUAAAAAUAUUCGAGAGUAAAAUUAUCAGAAAAAUAUAUAGAUGAAUUUGAAUAGAUGAAACAGAGUGGAGAAUCCAAAAUAAUGGAGAUAUCGAUGAAAUACUAGUCAAUUUAAACAUCAUUCGAUUCAUUAAAGUCCAGAGAUUGUGAAGGUUUGGCCACAUCCAAAGAUGGGGGAGAAAAAAAGGAUGCUUUAAAAGACUGCAGUUAUAUGUUGGUUGAAGCAUGAAAUGGAGUUAACAACUGCGCCUUGUAUAAGUCGUGGAAUAAACUACUGAAACCAUUCAAAGAUGAAAUCGAAAUCCGCGUGCAUGAUAAUGACAUUUUAUCUGAAAUUUUGUAUGAAAUGAAUAAUAUUAGCGUUUUCGAGGAUUCUGAUAAAAGUGAGUGUGGAGAAUAAAGAUCCAGACAUUCAGUGGCUGACAGACAAUGAAAUUGUUGGAACACUUACUACGAGGUGAAGAACUACAGAGGACGAUGAUGCAAAUGAAAAACCAGAAAAAGAUGACUUAAGGCCAUCUCAUGCUGAUGCCUCCCAAGAAAUAGAUUUGGCGUUCCGGUAGCUCGAGCGUCAAAAAGAGUCGGACUACACGCAGUUAUUACAACUGAAAAGGAUUAGAGAUCUAGCAGCUAUGAAGAGAAAGUCGACAUUGAAGCAGACAAAUUUUAAGAUAUUCUUUACGCCACAGCAUUAAUUUUGAUAAAGCUUCGAUUAUAUACACUUUGAUUAUUUUUUUACAUAUACGUAAAUACAUAUUUUUAAUUUUUCGUGAUGUACAUGUAGCUAAAUUGAACAAUUUAUAUGUAUGUACUUCAUAACACUCAUUUGUUCACUAUACACUUACCUACUAUGUUUAUAUGAAUAAACAAUUUUUUUACAAAGUUGUUGUUUUAGGUCUUGCUUUUCCUUAUUAUACAGGAUGUCUCUAAAUUCGACGCUCUAGGGGAAAUUUCUUGGGUCAAAUUAUGCCUAUCGGGAUAGGAUACUUAUAUCUGUUUUGUAUUUUUCUAAGUAAUCACAAAAGCAGUCAUAAAAUGAU